rnacentral:rRNA from 1 species
ACGAACGCUGGCGGCAGGCUUAACACAUGCAAGUCGAACGAGCGAGAGAGAGCUUGCUUUCUCGAGCGAGUGGCGAACGGGUGAGUAACGCGUGAGGAACCUGCCUCAAAGAGGGGGACAACAGUUGGAAACGACUGCUAAUACCGCAUAAGCCCACGACCCGGCAUCGGGUCGAGGGAAAAGGAGCAAUCCGCUUUGAGAUGGCCUCGCGUCCGAUUAGCUAGUUGGUGAGGUAACGGCCCACCAAGGCGACGAUCGGUAGCCGGACUGAGAGGUUGAACGGCCACAUUGGGACUGAGACACGGCCCAGACUCCUACGGGAGGCAGCAGUGGGGAAUAUUGCACAAUGGGGGAAACCCUGAUGCAGCGACGCCGCGCGGAGGAAGAAGGUCUUCGGAUUGUAAACUCCUGUUGUUGAGGAAGAUAAUGACGGUACUCAACAAGGAAGUGACGGCUAACUACGUGCCAGCAGCCGCAGUAA